AACCUCGUAGUUAACAAAUGUGGAAGUGUGCUUAAUGAAUACUAAGCUGCAAGGCAGCAAUGUCGCAGUGGGGGUGUAAUGCCAAUAAUAAGAAGCAAUAAUGCAUAUAUUUUGGCACUUUUUUUUUUGUAAAAAUAGGUAUUUUAUUAAAUUUGCAUAGGAUGUAAAAGAACUGCAGUUUUUAAGUGUGAAAAGAACAACUUGUGUUGAUUGAAGCUUAUCGUUGGGGACCUCAUCAUACUGUGCUCGUUUAUCGAGUAUCGUUUGCUCAGGGGACCACUGUGUGAAAUUGUGAACAAAAAUGCGCUAAUAUCCAACUCGAAUACACAUUUUCGCCACUGGUACAAUUGAAAAGCGUUGUUUCGGAAAAUCAAACGGUUAUUUCCCUCCUGAUGGAUGUUGACUCCACAAGUUCUUUCUGAACGUAAUAGGGAAGUACGACGUCAAUCAUCGACCCAACAAACGUUAAUUACGUGUUACUUCUAGCUCUCUGUUCAUUGCUCAUAAUGUCCUGAUGUUUGUCUGCUCGUUAUAGGGAUCGUCAUCGUUAUCAGUCACCAACCGCACUGGUAACGGGUAACCCAUCCCAGAAGAAUUCGUCCGGUAAGAAAUUCUUUUCUCUAUAGAGCACAUCAGCUGAUAAGGAUCACGAUACAUCGAUACAUGACCAGGCGCUUGAGCGGUUCGAUAUAAGUUAAUUGCUUCGCACAAGAAUGCCAUUAGUUUGAUUAAAAGUCUUCAUUUGCUCGGUUAGACUGUUCGGUGGGUUCGAACGACGCGUUUGUGAAUUUCAGCAAAAUUCUUACUAAAGACGUUCGGUAUGAAAUAUUUGUACUGCGUUCUACUACUGUUCCUCGCCAUGACUGCUGUGCGGUCUGCUGCAAUUCCUGACGUUACGGGUAGCAAUGCCGUUGAACGUUGGCAACGACUGUACGUACAAGUCCUUAACUGUACCGGCAAAAAUUGUAGGGCUCAGUGUAUAGGUCGAGGAUAUCGCACAGGACAGUGCCAGAUUGGACGGUGUUUCUGUUCAUAUGUGUAAAAGUUUAUACGUAGUAUUCAUUAUAGUAUUUGCUAGUUUUCUAAGUAUAAAAACAUGAACAUUUAUAUAUGCACAUUCGGAAAUUAAGUACAUACAUAUAAAUUGUCAGUAUUUUAGGCCUCUUCCUUAAAAUGUUAAAGUGAUCAUUCGUUCAUUUAGGCAUGGCUUCCACCCAAAUCCAUUCGAUAAUUGACAAAAUUGACAAUAGUCAAGGAAUUUGACAUUCUGCAUUGAAUUAAGUUUUUUUUUAAACUAUUGAUAACCAGAAGUGGAAGUUAUAUUUUGGAACAAUUCCGACGUUUGACUACUUUGUACUUGGGCCACACCACAUCGGUUUGCUACCUUGAACUAAAAAUUGCAAUAUAAGAACCCAAUAAGCAAAUAUUUACUAGGUAUUCGUAACAAUAAUAAAACAAAAGAUGUUUGAUAAAGAAUGAAGAACAUUUUAAUUCAAAAAAAUCACAUAAUAAAAGAAUGAACAAGAUGUUUGGUAUAUAAAUAAUUAAAAAAUAUUGACUGAUGAUGACAAUUAUUAAAAAUAUAUUCAUAUUUUUAUUUCUA